rnacentral:rRNA from 1 species
AACGAACGCUGGCGGCAUGCCUAACACAUGCAAGUCGAACGAGACCUUCGGGUCUAGUGGCGCACGGGUGCGUAACGCGUGGGAACCUGCCCUUAGGUUCGGAAUAACUCCCCGAAAGGGGUGCUAAUACCGGAUAAUGUCUUCGGACCAAAGAUUUAUCGCCUUUGGAUGGGCCCGCGUUGGAUUAGCUAGUUGGUAGGGUAAAAGCCUACCAAGGCGACGAUCCAUAGCUGGUCUGAGAGGAUGAUCAGCCACACUCGGACUGAGACACGGCCCAGACUCCUACGGGAGGCAGCAGUGGGGAAUAUUGGACAAUGGGCGAAAGCCUGAUCCAGCAAUGCCGCGUGAGUGAUGAAGGCCUUAGGGUUGUAAAGCUCUUUUACCCGGGAUGAUAAUGACAGUACCGGGAGAAUAAGCUCCGGCUAACUCCGU